UUUUCCUACGGGAGGCAGCAGUCGAGAAUCAUUCACAAUGGGGGAAACCCUGAUGGUGCGACGCCGCGUGGGGGAAUGAAGGUCUUCGGAUUGUAAACCCCUGUCAUGUGGGAGCAAAUUAAAAAGAUAGUACCACAAGAGGAAGAGACGGCUAACUCUGUGCCAGCAGCCGCGGUAAUACAGAGGUCUCAAGCGUCGUUCGGAAUCACUGGGCGUAAAGCGUGCGUAGGCUGUUUCGUAAGUCGUGUGUGAAAGGCGGGGGCUAAACCCGCGGACGGCACAUGAUACUGCGGGACUAGAGAAAG
rnacentral:rRNA from 1 species